rnacentral:rRNA from 1 species
CUACGGAGGGUGCAAGCGUUACUCGGAAUCACUGGGCGUAAAGCGCGCGCAGGCGGCUUGAUAAGUUGGAUGUGAAAGCCUACGGCUCAACCGUAGAACUGCAUCCAAAACUGUCAGGCUAGAGUGUGAGAGAGGAAGAUGGAAUUAGUUGUGUAGGGGUAAAAUCCGUAGAGAUAACUAGGAAUACCAAAAGCGAAGGCAAUCUUCUGGAACACUACUGACGCUGAGGCGCGAAGGCGUGGGGAGCAAACAGAAUUAGAUACCCUAGUAGUCC